UACGAAGGUCCCAAGCGUUGUUCGGAAUCACUGGGCGUAAAGGGAGCGUAGGCGGCGUGGUAAGUCAGAUGUGAAAUCCCGGGGCUCAACCUCGGAACUGCAUCCGAUACUGCCAUGCUAGAGGAUUGGAGAGGUAGCUGGAAUUCUUGGUGUAGCAGUGAAAUGCGUAGAGAUCAAGAGGAACACUCGUGGCGAAAGCGAGCUACUGGACAAUAACUGACGCUGAGGCUCGAAGGCUAGGGUAGCGAAAGGG
rnacentral:rRNA from 1 species